CCGUGGAGGAUAGGCACCGGAUAGCUCCGUGCCAGCSGCCGCGGUAAUCCUGAGGGUGCAAGCGUUACUCGGAAUCACUGGGCGUAAAGGGCGCGUAGGCGGAUUAUCAAGUCUCUUGUGAAAUCUAAUGGCUUAACCAUUAAACUGCUUGGGAAACUGAUAGUCUAGAGUGAGGGAGAGGCAGAUGGAAUUGGUGGUGUAGGGGUAAAAUCCGUAGAUAUCACCAAGAAUACCCAUUGCGAAGGCGAUCUGCUGGAACUCAACUGACGCUAAGGCGCGAAAGCGUGGGGAGCAAACAGGAUUAGAUACCCUGGUAGUCCACGCCCUAAACGAUGUACACUAGUUGUUGGGGUGCUAGUCAUCUCAGUAAUGCAGCUAACGCAUUAAGUGUACCGCCUGGGGAGUACGGUCGCAAGAUUAAAACUCAAAGGAAUAGACGGGGACCCGCACAAGCGGUGGAGCAUGUGGUUUAAUUCGAAGAUACGCGAAGAACCUUACCUGGGCUUGAUAUCCUAAGAACCUUUUAGAGAUAAGAGGGUGCUAGCUUGCUAGAACUUAGAGACAGGUGCUGCACGGCUGUCGUCAGCUCGUGUCGUGAGAUGUUGGGUUAAGUCCCGCAACGAGCGCAACCCACGUAUUUAGUUGCUAACGGUUCGGCCGAGCACUCUAAAUAGACUGCCUUCGUAAGGAGGAGGAAGGUGUGGACGACGUCAAGUCAUCAUGGCCCUUAUGCCCAGGGCGACACACGUGCUACAAUGA
rnacentral:rRNA from 1 species